CGCUUCUGCAGCUUUCGCUCUGCUGCAUGUUCUAUGCAGGCCCAACAUAUAUUUUUUUUUCUUUUCAGAUGUCCUUAUGGCCGAGAAAUGGGCCUUGGAAAGCGAGCUCAGACUUCAACAGCCUCCAGUGUGAGAUCUUCCUUUGGGAGCUGCCGCCAGGAAGGAAGGGGAGGGAGCUGAAAGAAUGUCUCUGCUGAGGCUGGCUGUGCAAGAGAUGACGAGAGAGGACAAUGGAGCUGGUAAAGCAACAAGCUUGCAGCGGAGCUUUCUGCCUGCUCAGAAGACGCAUGAAGUGUGCGGAAGACAGCCACAUCUCCGCAGUCUCGGCUUCGGUAGUUGUCGAGGGUAGCUGCGCCUUCCGCGCCCAGCAGCGUCAGUCAGCCUCCUGAUAAGGCUGCCAUUUGCAUGUGCCAAACACCAUGCAUGCACUUCAUCCUCUUCUUUUCUCCUCAUCGGCGUUCCUCUGGUCGGCGUCCCUACAAGUGGGCACCUGGAGCUGAUUAACAGAUGUAUGAUGGGCAAAGAAGACCUGUACCAUGCCUAUGCCCUGAUGAGGUUCAUGGCCGAGAUGGUGACUGGAAUGAGGCGGUGUACGGCGUCCGUGUGGAUCGGUGAGCAAGAUCAACUGGGCAGCUGUGGAGAUCAACACAGGCAAGUGCCUCCUGAAGCAUAAUGUGGUCUGUAAUGAAGUACUGACCCACUGUCUAGCGUUAUCUCUGGCACUUUUAUUUAGCAGUGCCGUUAAUACCUUUGAGCAAAUUCCUCCUUCGCACAAACACAUGCACAACAGCAAAUAUUGUUACUGUCUAAUUUAUGGUGACUGCAAGUUUACGGACCUUAGGAGUGAUCUUUAAUGACUUCAGGCUUUGUAACCAGGCCUCAUGCCUAUUGUGCCUUGACAUUUCACAUUCCUAACACGUCUACUAAUUUUAUGCAA